UACGGAGGAUCCAAGCGUUAUCCGGAAUCAUUGGGUUUAAAGGGUCCGUAGGCGGUUUAAUAAGUCAGUGGUGAAAGCCCAUCGCUCAACGGUGGAACGGCCAUUGAUACUGUUAAACUUGAAUUAUUAGGAAGUAACUAGAAUAUGUAGUGUAGCGGUGAAAUGCUUAGAGAUUACAUGGAAUACCAAUUGCGAAGGCAGGUUACUACUAAUGGAUUGACGCUGAUGGACGAAAGCAUGGGUAGCGAACAGG
rnacentral:rRNA from 1 species